rnacentral:sRNA from 1 species
UUUUGUACUUUUAGUGGAGAUGGAGUUUCUCCAUGUUGGCCAGGCUGGUCUCAAACUCCUAACCUCAAGUGAUCCGCCCACCUCAGCCUCCCAAAAUGCUGGGAUUACAGGCAUGAGCCACUGCACCCGGCCUAAUUUUUGUAUUUUUAGUAGAGACGGGGUUUCACCAUGUUGGCCAGGCUGAUCUUGAACUCCUGACUUUAAGUGAUUCACCCGCCUCAGCCUCCCAAAGUGCUGGGAUUACAGAUGUGAGCCACCGCGCCUGGCCUGAUACAUACUUUUAGAAUCAAGUAGUCACGCACUUUUUCUGUUCAUUUUUCUAAAAAGUAAAUAUACAAAUGUUUUGGUUUUUUGUUUUGUUUUGUUUUGUUUUUUUGAGACAGAGUCUCGCUCUUUCGCCCAGACCAGACUGCAGUGGCGCAAUCUCAGCUCACUGCAAGUGGCGCAAUCUCAGCUCACUGCAAGCUCCGCCCCCCAGGCUCACACCAUUCUCCCGCCUCAGCCUCCCGAGUAGCUGGGAAUACAGGCCCCCGCCACCGCGCCCAGCUAAUUUUUUGUAUUUUUAGUGGAGACGGGGUUUCACCAUGUUAACCAGGAUGGUCUCGAUCUCCUGACCUCGUGAGCCACCGCGCCCGGCCUAUACAAAUGUUUUUAUAUUAUAUAUACAUAUACCCUUUCCAAAAAAGUUUUGUGACUCUUUUCCAAAGAAGAACCUGUAUACAUCUCCCUCUACCAGAAUGACAUGUUUAUAGUGUCUGAUUCUAUUCCAUCGGUAAUUUUUCUGUAGCUGACUGGAAAUACCGGCAUGCGGGAUUGAUGGCCUUAUCUGCCAUUGGUGAAGGGUGCCACCAGCAAAUGGAAGGAAUUCUAAAUGAGAUCGUAAAUUUUGUUUUACUUUUUCUCCAGGAUCCUCAUCCAAGAGUAAGGUAUGCAGCCUGUAAUGCUGUGGGACAGAUGGCUACAGAUUUUGCACCUGGUUUCCAAAAGAAAUUUCAUGAAAAGGUGAUUGCAGCUCUGCUGCAGACCAUGGAAGACCAAGGCAAUCAACGUGUGCAGGCCCAUGCAGCUGCUGCCCUCAUUAACUUUACUGAAGACUGUCCCAAGUCACUACUUAUUCCAUACUUGGAUAAUUUGGUGAAACAUCUGCAUUCCAUUAUGGUACUGAAGCUUCAAGAGCUGAUUCAGAAAGGCACCAAGUUAGUUUUGGAACAAGUUGUGACAUCCAUUGCAUCAGUUGCUGAUACUGCAGAAGAAAAAUUUGUCCCCUACUAUGAUUUAUUUAUGCCAUCACUGAAGCACAUCGUUGAGAAUGCGGUUCAAAAAGAACUGAGACUUCUGAGAGGAAAAACUAUUGAAUGCAUUAGCCUCAUUGGUCUGGCUGUUGGGAAGGAAAAAUUCAUGCAGGAUGCAUCAGAUGUGAUGCAGCUUUUGUUAAAGACCCAGACAGACUUCAAUGAUAUGGAAGAUGAUGAUCCUCAGAUCUCUUACAUGAUCUCAGCAUGGGCCAGAAUGUGCAAAAUCCUUGGAAAAGAAUUUCAGCAGUACCUUCCAGUGGUUAUGGGGCCUUUAAUGAAGACGGCUUCAAUUAAGCCCGAAGUAGCCCUUUUGGAUACCCAAGAUAUGGAGAAUAUGAGUGAUGAUGAUGGUUGGGAAUUUGUGAACCUUGGAGAUCAGCAAAGCUUUGGUAUUAAAACUGCAGGACUAGAAGAAAAAUCAACUGCUUGCCAGAUGUUGGUUUGCUAUGCUAAGGAGUUAAAGGAAGGCUUUGUGGAGUACACUGAACAGGUUGUCAAACUGAUGGUCCCUUUACUGAAAUUUUAUUUCCACGAUGGUGUUCGAGUGGCAGCAGCAGAAUCCAUGCCCCUUCUCCUGGAGUGUGCAAGAGUCCGUGGUCCUGAGUAUCUCACACAGAUGUGGCAUUUUAUGUGUGAUGCUCUAAUUAAGGCCAUUGGUACAGAACCAGAUUCAGACGUCCUCUCAGAAAUAAUGCAUUCUUUUGCAAAGUGCAUUGAAGUAAUGGGAGAUGGAUGCCUUAAUAAUGAACACUUUGAAGAACUGGGAGGUAUAUUGAAAGCAAAGCUUGAAGAACAUUUUAAAAAUCAAGAAUUACGACAAGUUAAAAGACAAGAUGAAGACUAUGAUGAACAGGUCGAAGAGUCACUACAAGAUGAGGAUGAUAAUGAUGUUUAUAUUCUGACCAAAGUGUCAGAUAUUUUACACUCAAUAUUCAGUAGCUACAAAGAAAAGGUGUUACCAUGGUUUGAACAGCUGCUUCCAUUAAUUGUCAACCUCAUUUGUCCACAUAGACCAUGGCCAGACAGACAAUGGGGAUUAUGCAUCUUUGAUGAUGUCAUAGAACACUGUAGUCCAGCCUCAUUUAAAUAUGCAGAAUAUUUCUUAAGACCAAUGCUCCAAUAUGUAUGUGACAACAGCCCAGAAGUCAGGCAAGCAGCUGCAUAUGGCCUGGGAGUCAUGGCACAGUAUGGUGGAGAUAAUUAUCGCCCUUUUUGUACAGAAGCACUUCCCCUGCUGGUAAGAGUUAUUCAGUCUGCGGAUUCUAAGACCAAAGAAAAUGUCAAUGCUACAGAGAACUGCAUCUCAGCAGUAGGGAAAAUGAUGAAGUUCAAGCCUGACUGUGUAAAUGUUGAAGAGGUCCUUCCACACUGGUUGUCUUGGCUUCCACUACAUGAAGAUAAAGAAGAAGCUGUUCAGACUUUCAAUUAUCUGUGUGACCUGAUUGAAAGUAAUCAUCCAAUUGUUCUUGGCCCAAACAAUACCAAUCUGCCCAAAAUAUUCAGUAUAAUUGCGGAAGGAGAAAUGCAUGAGGCAAUUAAACAUGAAGAUCCUUGUGCCAAACGUCUGGCCAAUGUCGUUCGCCAAGUACAGACUUCUGGAGGACUGUGGACUGAGUGCAUAGCACAGCUCAGUCCUGAGCAGCAGGCCGCCAUUCAGGAGCUCCUGAACUCUGCGUGAAGGGCCUUAAUGUCACCCACCAGAAAACUAACUCCAAAUAAACGCUUACCCUUUCGUUUAGGUUUCUUUGUUUUGUUUUUGAGCAAAAGAGAUCGGUAGUGUUGUGUGUAGGCCAUUCUUCUGGAGAGCCACGAGCAGGAAGAGCAGCGCUGUGUUGCAGAAUGGAGUUUCCAUGGAUUUCUACCAGACCACUGAAGGAGUUCCUGAAAGCCCUGCGGUAGCACUGAAGAGUAUUUUUCUAUUGGUAUAACCCACCCACCUGAAGGGGAAAGGGAAAUCAAAUUAAUUUUUCUCAUUAGACAUAAGGAAAUUUAAGGAAAAACAGCUUUAAGAACAGUUACUCAGCGUAGAUGUGUGUUCACACAAAUUGCUCUGCACUCAGUGUUCAUUGUGAAUUAGAGUGUGAGUCUUUCUGUAGGGUAGAAAGAAGCCUACUACCCAGGAAACCAGUAGACCCAAAAGUUGAAAAAAAACUGAUGACAGACAACAAGCAUGAAGAUGGCAUAUUUGAUGUCACUUUGGUUCUUUUUCCCAGAAGGCUUAUACAGUGACUCAGUCGGGAAGCUUUCCAGCUUCCAGCCCUUGAAUGUGAAGUGUCAUUGGCAUGUCUGGCAGUAGUCUCUCAUUCACUCCUCAAUAAACAACAUUGAAUACAAAAGAGGCUUGUGUAAAAACUC